GAAGUGUUCACGACACACACACACACACACACACAUCCCUGCAUAAUGCAACGGGGGGCCGACGUGCGCCCGAUAAAACUGGCGAAGAAGGUGUUCAGCGCCAAUACGGUGUGUUCAACAGCGGCGAGUCAGCUGUACGUGGCCCACGGUCUCCUUGGCAAUUCGGGCAACUGGGCAACCGCCUCGCGCCACCUUGUCGAGCACUCUGCUCUCAAAGACAAGCUCCGGCGCGCGAUCGCGGUGGACAUGCGCAACCACGGCAGCAGUGCGCACAGUAGUGACCACACAAACGCGGCGCUUGCAUCCGAUCUCGAAGCGCUGGUGCUGCGCGAACAGCAGGAGCUGGGCCGCGCCUUUCGUGACCCAGCCUCGUGCACGACACGGAACGCGAUCUUGAUUGGGCACAGCAUGGGCGGCUUGUCGGUGAUGGGCGCGCUGUUGCGGCGCGCCAACGAAGAUCGGCUGCUGACAUCGUGGGCUGAUCACUGCGACGACGCGGGCUCGGCGUCGUCAUACGGGGCGUGGCCGGCGGAGUACCGUCGUCAGUGCAUUGCUGGAAUGCGUGCCGUGAACGAGGAGUUUGGCUUCGCUUCCUCGCAGCCCAUCGCGGAAGUGCUCUUCAAUAACCGUGGUGCGUCCUCCUCACCAUCAACGGGCAACGGUAAUGCUUCCCGCAUCCCGCUGCUGGGCCGCGUUGCUGGUGCUGUCAUUGUGGACGUGACGCCAACAAUGCGGCUGGGUGAACAGCGCAGCUGCGCUGACAACGUCAAGGAGACGCUCGAGCGCAUGACGCAGGUGCGGCUGGACGGGAUUCACAGCUACAAGGACGCAACGGCGGAGCUGAUCCGGGUCGGCAUGGCUGACCAGGAAAUGCGCGAUUUUGUGGCAACGAACAUCGUCCUUGAUCCUAAAGACAAGUCGAAGUCGGCGCAGUGGAAGUGCAAUCUGCCGGUCCUCGCCGGCGACUACGGCAGCUUCCAGCCAUCCAUCACUCGCUGGUUUACGUCGUCGGCAACGACGAUGGGGCAAGCGCCCUCGGCUGCCGCGCCGCGGCUGUGCACGCUUCCUGUCAUGUUCGUCUUUGGUGGUAAGUCGCCUUACAACGAGCCGGAUCACCGCCAGCACAUUUCGCGCUUCUUCUCCAACGCAACGCAGGUGGAGGUGCCCGGCGCCGGGCACUUUGUGCAUUACGAGAAGCCGAAGGAGUUCACCGACGCCGUGGCGCCGUUCAUCGCGUCCCUCAUUUCACAGCCGUGAAGCGCAAGAGAGUCAUCUUGGAGUUCUCGGGGUGGGGAGGUGAGAGCUGCCAAGACGGCGCUCGACACGUUCUGCCGCCCACCUCCGGCCCAACCUUUCUUCCCCCCCCCCCUUCCGCUUCUCAAGAUGCGCGCUUGAACGUGUGUGCGUGUGCGUGUGUGUGUGUAUGCCAGUGCUCGUAUUCGUGUUCGUGUCUUUACACGGCACUUCCCGUAGAUGUCCGCCCUAGCAAGGUGCGGACACACACACACACACACGUGUGAGCCUGUUGCACACGGAAAAUGAUACCGCACACGCAAAUGUAGGUCAAAGGCCGAAGCGAAG
rnacentral:misc_RNA from 1 species